ACUACUAAGAUUAUUGAAGUUAUGUAUUUUCCGACGAGAAGGCAUGAGUCAUCUGUUCUAAUCUGAAAUCUCGAACUUACUCGCUACAAAUAUAUAUAAAAUACAAUCAUCUGAAUGGAAUGUAAAACUUCUAUAAAAUAUUAAUUUCAAAUUAGCCAUUUACCGAACGUACAACGAUUACAUAUGACAUAUUUUCUUGUGACUUGACCUUCUAGAAGCAAAAAUUUAUUUCUCUUAAACUCAUCAGAAGUCGGGAACAGGCCUUUUAAAAAGCAUCUCGUCGUAUCAUCAGAUCUACGUAGAAAUUAAAAAAACGUUUAAAUGUACAUCGAGUAUAGAACAGACCAACUAACUGAAGUACUGCAAAAUGUAUUGAACAGGGAAUGUAGGAAGAAUAGGAUGAUAGCAGCCACCAAACAAGACUGGAUAUUUAUUUCAAAUAUCUUUCAAAUAAUGUCAGCCAUUUGGGAUCUGUGACUUUGGAAUUGUCCUACGCUCCUCUUCUUCAGAGGAAGAAAUUCUGCAAGAACAAUUGAAAACUGAGAAGAACGCUGAUAUGUCCGUCCGCCUACGAUUCCAAGUAGAAAGAACAAAAACAAAUCAGCCUUAUUGAAAACGCGAUAAAAUAUGACCAACCGCGAUCUCACGCCUCUGGAGUGAAACUGAACUGCUACUCAAGACCGCCACCAGAUGCCCGUUGGUGCACUUACCUGAAACAAAAAGGAAA